rnacentral:lncRNA from 1 species
AAAAUUACAACCGAACCGUUCAUAUUCUUCACAACCAGAAACUAAACUCAGGUCCCAUAUUAGCAACUUCGUUACAUGAAGGUAGCAAGCAGGUAGGAAAAGCAAAAGGCAACUCAUGUCCCAACUUAGCAUGAAUCCUGGCGUCCGGAGGCACACCAUUUCACAUUUUAUUCUCUGCAUAGACAAGCAGCGGGGCCGUUCCACGACCGCAAAGGCCUAGGGAAGGAACCAUGGAGCGGAGAUGACGCUCUACUGGGUCUUGAACAUGUGGCGGAUCAGGUCGACAACACGGUUGCUGUAGCCCCACUCGUUGUCGUACCAGGAGACAAGCUUGACGAAGUUGUCGUUCAGAGCAAUUCCAGCCUUGGCGUCGAAGAUGCUCGACCUAAGUGGAAACAAUGAAACAGGAAAAAAAAUGAAUAACACAGCACAGGAACAAAACAACAUUCACUAGAAUUCAUCGUAGCACUAUCGUGGUGUGCCCUAGAAUAUCCACUGGUUCCUAGAACUUGGAGGACCCAAAGCAAAUUUCGUGUACCUGCUGUCACCAGUGAAGUCAGUGGAAACCAAAUCCUCAUCCGUGUAACCCAUGAUACCCUUGAGUGGCCCCUCAGACGCAGCCCU